GGGGAUGUAGCUCACAUGGUAGAGCUCUCGCUUUGCAUGAAAGAGGUACGAGGUUCGAUACCCCUCAUCUCCA
rfam:Picea glauca, whole genome shotgun sequence.